GCAUCAAUUAAAGUGAAUGCUCAAACUGUUUAUAAUGCUUAUAAACAGGCGUUAGAGCAUGCUAGGCCAAAUAUUCCAACCCCAACUUCGUCCACAUCAUAGGCAUCUAAAAGAGCUGCUGGCUUAACAGCUCUUAAAUCGUGGACUUAGUUCAAGGGUACUCAAGGGGAAAAUGUAGAUGAUAUUUCUCAUCUAAAUGAGCUUCAAGUUUAUUUGUCGCAGGGAUUAGAGAAUGAGAAUCUAGACGGCUCUUUCGACCUUUUGGAUUGGUGGAAGACAAGGGAAAAACAUUUUCCCGUUCUUGCAAG
rnacentral:lncRNA from 1 species